GCUGGGGAGGGGGCUCCGCGCUCCGCUCCCCCCGCGGGCAGGCACCGCCCGCCCCUCCCCGGUGCCUUCCCACACCCGGGCCGCGCCGAGCGGGAGGCCCCCGGGGGCUGCUGGUGACGGGAGGGCGGGGGGUCGCUCCGCGCUGCCCUCAUGGCUCAGGCGGGGGUCGCUGCCGCCCGUGUGCCCCUCCGGGGCUGACGAGGCAGCACCGGGCAGCCGCGGCCUCCCGGAGGCCGGAGCGGGAUAUCCCCGCGCCUCGCCUGCCCCCCACAUCAUCGCGGGGUUGGGGUUCGGGAGCUCGGUGCAGCCGUGUGGGCCCAUCCCAGGCCGGUACCUCACAGGCGGGAGCCGGCAGGCCACGGGGAAUGAGGUGGGGGUUUUUCUGCCAGGCUCGUUUGGGGUGUCUUCAUUUUGCAGCCCACUUUUUUUUUUUUGCAGGAAGCGUGGGGGUCCCAGGAAACACCCUGAAGCGUGGUCAGGUGCCAGAGUCCAACUACACUCCCAGAGAACCUUUGCCUGCCACAGUUAGUCUAAACAAGCAACAUCAAACAAACCAUCUGUGAAAAGAAAAACAGCCAUAAUCACGUUUCCAGCCAGCACUCUGCUGACCCAUGAUACAGGAAAAAUGCAGAGGAUUAGGAACGCUUUCCCUGGUUGCUCAGGCAACAGCAAGACAUGGGAAUAUGAAAAGCUGUUGCGAGCGUGAAGGGACAUGUCUUUGGGCCCUCCUCCCUCCGCCUCCACAUUGGCAGAGGUGAGGCAUCGGGUUUCCUGACACGCCUCGGUACAGGUGCCUCUGGCUCCGCGGCAGGAGGGAGCAGCCAGCCCCGCUCGGGCACGCCUCUGCCAGCCCCUGUCAUCCACAGCUCCCGCUCUGCUGCUCCAUCAGCCCGGAAAUAUCCUCACGGGGCUCGGCCAGGGGCUCACGAAAUCCCUCCUCCCAACAAGGGGAUGAGUAAGGACUCGCCGAGCCGGGGAAUCCGAAUGACAAGGCACAGACAGCAUCGCGUCAGACACCGGGGGCAUCCCUUCGAAGGCGACGGACAGCUCGUGACAAGGGACACCACGGGGUCACAUCGAUGGCGAUUUUCUCCCGAGCCCGGCUUCCCAGCAGCGUGGGGAGGUGCUGAAAGUAGGCUGAGGUUCUCCAAGUGAGCGCUGCGAGGGUUCCAGGGGCAGCUCUGAGACGGGAGCAUCCCCAUGGUUUGUGCCCCAGGCUUUGCUGGGUGCGGUUUCGUGCCUUGCAGCAGCUCUCAGCCCUCCCUGGCUCUUCUCGGACAGAGCAAAGCCCGUGCUCGCUGCCGUGUCUGUGACCAACCAGCCCAGCACCCCCAGCCCACGAGGACCAUUCCUGGUAAGCACAGAGCACCUCAAAAUUCGCUCCAGCACGAGGAGGCUCAGGUGGGGCUCCCACACAGGAGGUGCAUCCUCCCCACUCCCCAAAGGAAGUGACUAAGCCGAGCCUUACCAAGCCAGCCUAGCUGCUUGCACAGUGUUCUACCCCAGCAGCCCUCCACCCUGCCCAGAGCCUCUGCUCCUUCACACAGGGCACUGCAAAGGUGUCCCUACAGGACAAUCAAGGGGGUGGGGAAAAUUCACUUUAUGUGCAACCACUGCAUUGGCCCUUAUGCUCUUCGAGCAGCCCAGCAGAGCCUGGACAAACAGGGACAAGGCACCAGGGCAGAAUCUGUGUAAUCAGCCCUGCUUGCAGCAGCAGCACAGCCUGGAAAUAAUCCACAGCUUGGCUGGGUCUAUAAAUACACCUGUGAGCAAGAGGUGGCACAGCAAAAGCUCCUGGUCCUUAAGCAAACAUGUAACUCCUGGGUUGUUUGAUGAACACAGCCCUUGCUCAGCUGCUGCUGCACACACAGGCAAUUAGGGAGUCCUGAAUGGCUGGGGCAGGUCUGGGCUCUACUGAGAUGAGUUAAGUCUGUGACCAAAUCAAGCAGGAAACUUUAGAAUUGUGGGAAAAAAGACAAGAAGCCCCAUGGCAGCAGAGUCAGCCUGCCCUGUCCCCUCCCAGCCAUCACACCCAGGCUCCCCCACAGCACAGCAGAGAAAUUCCCACCAUGCUAAAACUCAACACUUCCCAGUGCAAGAGGUUUCCAAGUACCAGCAGUGCAGUAAAUCUGAAAAAUAGAUUUUAUUUUUAACCAGUGGUAUUGUGACAUCUUAUCUGGCAUUACCAAUUACAGCAAAAUCCAUGGAUAGAAACAAACUAGCAGAUCUCUGCUUUUGGGUGCAGCACGGUGCCCAGGCAGCUGAGCACAGCACGGCACUGGCAGCAGGGAGUUUGUGCCCCAGGGGCUCCCUCAGAGGACAGACUCCAAUGAACCAUUCCCACUCACACACACAGACACACCCACACACACAACACCGAGAGGUUUUAAAAAUCUUUAGCAAUAUUUCCGCAUGAAAUCACACUGUAGCAUCUACACAGAAAAUGGCUGAUAAAAAUAAUCUUGCUUGUAGGUUUACAUAGUGUAUCUACAUUUUUAUUUGAAUACCCAGACUGCUGGCCCAGCAGAAAAGGGAGGUUUUUUGUCUUGAUUUUGUUGGGCUGUGGAGAGUUUUAUCCUAGAGCACAACAGAGCUGCUCUCUACAUCUCAGCCCAGACCUUUACUGAACUUCUGGCCUGAAGAGAUCGCUGGGAAGUCACCUAGGAAGAAUCAAUGGCUUUGUCAUCCACGUCCCAUCCCUUUGUGCUGCCUCUUCAAACAUGGGGCAAAAACACUACAAAAACACUCUCUGCCCCACAGGUAACAAGAAUACAAAAUACUGCAAAAGCCUUUCUCCUCACAUACACGGGUACAUUGCCCACACAGGAUGCCUGCAACAAAUUAAAAGUCUAAAAAUGUUUCCUCCAGAAGCCCUAAAAUUGGGCUCCUGAGUUCCCCAGCUACAGAUGGAGCACACAACCAUGCUGAGAAACCUCCCUCCUGCCAGCCUCUAACUCUGGGCACUUCACUCAUGCAGAGUCCUGGAAAAUACAAAAUAUCUGAGCCAUGUUUGUAUUCAAACAUACUCCCUUCUCAUGUUUCCUCAGGCAGAGAUCAACCUGCUAAGAAAUAGCCAAGAAGCUCUUAUGUGAGAGGAUAAAAAAACUUCUAGUAAAUGUUAGUUUUAUGUAUAUAAAUAUUUGUAUUUAUAGAUAUAGACAGUGAAAGGGUGAUUGUGUGUUUAUGCAUGCUUAUUUCUUUGCUUUGGGUUCCAAUACUUC